GAUGAACGCUGGCGGCGUGCCUAAUACAUGCAAGUCGAGCGGACAGAUGAGGAGCUUGCUCCUCUGACGUUAGCGGCGGACGGGUGAGUAACACGUGGAUAACCUACCUAUAAGACUGGGAUAACUUCGGGAAACCGGAGCUAAUACCGGAUAAUAUAUUGAACCGCAUGGUUCAAUAGUGAAAGACGGUUUUGCUGUCACUUAUAGAUGGAUCCGCGCCGCAUUAGCUAGUUGGUAAGGUAACGGCUUACCAAGGCAACGAUGCGUAGCCGACCUGAGAGGGUGAUCGGCCACACUGGAACUGAGACACGGUCCAGACUCCUACGGGAGGCAGCAGUAGGGAAUCUUCCGCAAUGGGCGAAAGCCUGACGGAGCAACGCCGCGUGAGUGAUGAAGGUCUUCGGAUCGUAAAACUCUGUUAUUAGGGAAGAACAAAUGUGUAAGUAACUAUGCACGUCUUGACGGUACCUAAUCAGAAAGCCACGGCUAACUACGU
rnacentral:rRNA from 1 species